CCUACGGGUGGCAGCAGUGAGGAAUAUUGGUCAAUGGGCGUAAGCCUGAACCAGCCAAGUCGCGUGAGGGAUGAAGGUUCUAUGGAUCGUAAACCUCUUUUAUAAGGGAAUAAAGUGAGGGACGUGUCCUAUUUUGUAUGUACCUUAUGAAUAAGGAUCGGCUAACUCCGUGCCAGCAGCCGCGGUAAUACGGAGGAUCCGAGCGUUAUCCGGAUUUAUUGGGUUUAAAGGGUGCGUAGGCGGGUUGUUAAGUCAGUUGUGAAAGUCUGUGGCUCAACCAUAGAAUUGCAGUUGAUACUGGGAGGCUUGAGUAUAGUUGAGGCAGGCGGAAUGCGUGGUGUAGCGGUGAAAUGCUUAGAUAUCACGAAGAACCCCGAUUGCGAAGGCAGCCUGCUAAGCCAUGACUGACGCUGAUGCACGAAAGCGUGGGGAUCAAACAGGAUUAGAUACCCUUGUAGUC
rnacentral:rRNA from 1 species